GCAAAACAAUCUGUGCUGAAAAGGAAAGUCCAGGGGGUCACUGCAGUUUAUCUUUGUUUACCUCCUGUUAUGACUCAUCUUCAGGGUCUGUUUCUCUUCUUAGGAGAUGAUUUGGCUCAUUACCACGGACCUUCCUGGCUUGCUAACUAAGUUUCUAUUUAAUUGGUUUUUACAACAUGACCUAGUUCCUGAGACUUCAGACUCUUGGAAGGCAGAAUGUGGCAGGAGUGUAAGAUCACCUGCACAGCGGCCAGAACAUCACAGCAAACACACAACACACAGAUAAAAAUUCAUUUAGUAACAUAUAAAGGAUAUCAAGUCAUGAAGGCACUACAUAAAUGAAGCAUUUCCCAAAACACUGAGCAGAGAAUUCCAGAAGGACUCUGAGAAAACACAUGGCCUCUGCAGUCAGCAGCAGAUCCAAGGCCUCUUCUGUGGAGUCUGUUCCCUCUUCCCACCCACACAUCUCUGGAUACUUCUGCCAGCCAUAGAUUUUCCUUCUGUGUUUACCUCGUUUGAGGCUCAGGUGAAAAACCAGAUGACUUACAAAGGAAUCAGAUAUCGCCAUUGGCCUUUUCUCACAAGCCAAAACAUCAUGCCACUCGAUCUGUUUUUGUUUGCUUUUUAACAUGAAAAAAAUGCAGGCUGUGUAGAAUGGAAAAUUUGUGAGAAAUUCUAUUGAAAGAGAAAUUCAUUGAACUUGGUGGACAUCGACAAAAAAGUUUAGUCAUACUUAUUUUCUAAAUAAUAAACUAUACUUUGGUUGGGUAAGUUUGGAAAAUGUAAAGCAUGAAUAAAUGACACACAUUCCUUAAUCCUAAUUCUCAUAUAUGCUGUUUACAUUUUAUUGUAUAAUGCCUAUACACAAUAAACAAAAUCCAGGCUGUAUUCUUUAUACGAUUUUAUUCCUUGCUUUAAUUUGAAUUAUAAAUCUUUUCUAUUAAAUAUUUUGUGAACACAGGAAAUUCAUUGGCUACAUUAUAUUCCAUCAGAGGGACAAACCAUGGCUUAACUUUUCUUUUUUU
rnacentral:lncRNA from 1 species